rnacentral:lncRNA from 1 species
CAAAGAGGAACAAACCCGGCUUGACAAGGAAACAACUACGGUCAAUAACAACCAGGAUCUUUAUUGAGAGAGAGAUUUACAGAGAGAUUUACAUGAAGGAGGUUAAGCGCCUCCAAUAAGCACAAAUACCUUGAGUUGAGGAUAGUCGAAGACCACAAUAAAACACAGCUUCUUUUUUUUUUUACACACUAUCAGUCUCUAGUCCCUUUUAGAUUGGGCGGCACAGUCUCUGAUCUCUUUCGGAGCGAAUUCCGAUGGCAGCACGAUAGCAAUAUCCGAUGAUUCGAUGAGAGCACUCUCUUCUCGGCGGCUGGUGUCCAACUUGCCUUCUCGGCGGCUGGUGUCCAAUCUCUCUCUUUUGCGUAGCGAGUCUAACUGCACUUCUCGGCGGCUGGUCGUGUCCGACUGCUCUUCUCGGCUGUUCGUGUCCGACUGCUCUCUUUUGCGGCCUGAGUCCAACUGCGCUCUUACUAGCGUUACAGUCGACUAUCUUUUCUCACUAUCGCGGGGUCGUUCCCCACCCGCAUUCCAGGAGUCCCGCUCUUCCACCACCUGCACUCCAUCUG